rnacentral:misc_RNA from 1 species
AGCAGCCGCGGUAAUUCCAGCUCCAAUAGCGUAUAUUAAAGUUGUUGCAGUUAAAAAGCUCGUAGUUGAACUUCGGGGUUUACCCAUUGGUCAGGCUUAAUUGUCUGUACUGGUGAGAUAAAUCUCUACCUUCUGAGGAACUUUCAUGUCAUUAAUUUGGUGUGAUUGGAAAUCAGGACUGUUACUUUGAAAAAUUGAGUGUUUAAAGCAGGCUAACGUCUGAAUACAUUAGCAUGGAAUAAUGAAAUAGGACGGACUGAUUCUAUUUCGUUGGUUUCUAGGAUCACCGUAAUGAUUAAUAGGGAUAGUUGGGGGCAUUAGUAUUCAAUUGUCAGAGGUGAAAUUCUUGGAUUUAUUGAAGACUAACUACUGCGAAAGCAUUUGCCAAGGAUGUUUUCAUUAAUCAAGAACGAAAGUUAGGGGAUCGAAGACGAUCAGAUACCGUCGUAGUCUUAACCAUAAACUAUGCCGACUAGGGAU